rnacentral:rRNA from 1 species
UACGGAGGAUGCGAGCGUUAUCCGGAUUUAUUGGGCGUAAAGCGAGCGCAGGUGGUUUAUUAAGUCUGGUGUAAAAGGCAGUGGCUCAACCAUUGUAUGCAUUGGAAACUGGUAGACUUGAGUGCAGGAGAGGAGAGUGGAAUUCCAUGUGUAGCGGCGAAAUGCGUAGAUAUAUGGAGGAACACCGGUGGCGAAAGCGGCUCUCUGGCCUGUAACUGACACUGAGGCUCGAAAGCGUGGGGAGCAAACAGG